GAUGAAGAACGUAGCGAAAUGCGAUAGUUGGUGUGAAUUGCAGAAUCCCGUGAACCAUCGAGUCUUUGAACGCAAGUUGCGCCCGAAGCCAUCAGGUUGAGGGCACGUCUGCCUGGGCGUCACAUAUCGUUGCCCAAUGCCUAUUGCAGUGCAAUAGGAAUUUCUAGGGCGAAUGAUGGCUUCCCGUGAGCGUUGUUGCCUCGCGGUUGGUUGAAAAUCGAGUCCUUGGUAGGGUGUGCCAUGGUAGAUGGUGGUCGAGUUAGAACGAUACCGAUCAUGUGCAUGCUCCCCAAAAUAUGGCCUCUAUGACCCACACGCGUCUUUUGACGCUCAUGACGAGACCUCAGGUCAGGCGGGGCUACCCGCUGAAUUUAAGCAUAUCAAUAAGCGGAGGA
rnacentral:misc_RNA from 1 species